UCGUCAGCUCGUGUCGUGAGAUGUUGGGUUAAGUCCCGCAACGAGCGCAACCCUUGUCAUUAGCUGCCAUCAUUAAGUUGGGCACUCUAAUGAGACUGCCGGUGACAAACCGGAGGAAGGUGGGGAUGACGUCAAGUCAUCAUGCCCCUUAUGACCUGGGCUACACACGUGCUACAAUGGACGGUACAACGAGAAGCGAACCUGCGAAGGCAAGCGGAUCUCUUAAAGCCGUUCUCAGUUCGGACUGUAGGCUGCAACUCGCCUACACGAAGCUGGAAUCGCUAGUAAUCGCGGAUCAGCACGCCGCGGUGAAUACGUUCCCGGGCCUUGUACACACCGCCCGUCACACCAUGAGAGUCUGUAACACCCAAAGCCGGUGGGAUAACCUUUAUAGGAGUCAGCCGUCUAAGGCUACGGACAGAUGAUUAGGGUGAAGUCGUAACAAGGUAACCGUA
rnacentral:rRNA from 1 species